rnacentral:tRNA from 1 species
GGUCCCGUGGCGCAAUGGUCAGCGCGUCUACCACAUGCGCGGAAGAUCUGUGUUCGAUUCACAGCGGGAUCA